rnacentral:tRNA from 2 species
AUCUAUAUAGUAUAAAAAGUAUAUUUGACUUCCAAUCAUAUGGUCUAUAUUAUAAUAGUAUAGAUA